UGGCUCGCUUGGUAGAGGAUGGCACUUGCAAUGCCAGGGUUGUGGGUUCGAUUCCCAU
rnacentral:tRNA from 1 species